AGAAAAGAAGGGUCAGAUUAGAGAAACGCCCGCAAAGCUUUCUUCUUCACUUCUUCUUCUAUUGCGGUUUCGUCCCGUCCCAUGUUUCUUCUUUUACCUCCGUUACUGUACGGUUCUUCGACUGUCGCCGUGCGUUCUUCUUUUAGUGUUGUCGUACUGUUCUUCUUCUUCUUUUGCUAUUGCCGACUACAGUACGUACUGCGUUCUUCUUCUUCUUUUACUGCGGAAAUGUGUUAUUCUUCUUUUGGUGCUGCGGAGUUUUCUUUUUCUUCUGUUGCGAUGCAGUAAUAUUAAUAGGAAGAAGAAAUCAGGGUUAUUGCUGUCGAAGAUCUGCAGGUGUGAUUUGUCCAAUAUUUCGUUUUUUAUUUUUUCGAAUCGUGAAAGAUCGAAGAUCCCACAAAUAACGCGAAAGAUCGCGAUUUUACUCCGAUCUUAUUCUGCCCCGAUUUUGCAUCUGAUUCAGCACGGAAUAUUUUUGCAAACCGUAAAAUUGAACGAUUUUACGAGUUGAUUCGCGAUUUUAACAACACUCGGUCCUCCGGUCUCGCCCUCAUGUACUUUCCCCUCUCUCUCUCGUUCUCCUUGUCGAUUCCUUCAUGGGACUCUUGACUCUUGAAUCAGUAUUCUUUAUUCUCGUUCGAGUCAUUUCCUUUGUUUACCUUUUGUAGCCAUCAUACUAAGGAGGAUUUCUUAUCCUCUAUAUUUGUUUCUUUCCUCUUAAUAAAUUCAUUUUACACAUACAACAAGAUUUGAUAACUUAAAUCAUAACUUGAUAUUUAAGUUAGUUUUGUUCACCUAAACUUUUAUUUUGAAAAAAAUAGGUGUACUAAUUUUGAUGGAUGAAGUACAAGAAAAGAAGACAUCUUGAUUUUGUGCAAAUGGAAAAUGAACCCAUUCUUGAUUGAAAUCUAGCUUUGAAAUCAAACGGUUCGAUGUGAAAUGACGUGAAAUGCUUGAAUGAAUUGGAAUAAUUUCAAUUCGAUGGAUUAGUAAUUCUAGUUGUUGUUAUUGUUAUUGUGAUUAUGAUUGUGAUGAUGUGUAUUUUAUGUUUUAUUUAUUUGUAUGUUGUUUGUGACUUGUGUGUGUUUGUGCCUUUGUUUUUGUAUGUUGUGUGUGCUUAUAUGUCUCUGCGUAUCUCUACGUGUGUGCAUAUCAAUGCCUUGUAUGUAUGUUUUGUGUAUGUGCGCUGUCUUCGUCUCUAUGUUUAUGCAAUUUGCUCAGUUUUUAUGUUUGUCUGUGUUACUUUGCAAGUGAUGUGUUUCUGCCGGUGUCUCUCCAUGUGUAUGCCCUGCCUUUAUCUUUGUAUCUGUGUUUGUCUUUACUUGUUUAUGUGUCAUUUAUGUGUUUGUAUGUCUCUUUGUUUGUGUCUAGGUUAUGUUUUUAUCUGUAAGUGUAUGUAUCUCUCUCACUCCCUCUGUGUGGGUGUGUUUGUGACUUUGUUAGUCUGUGUUAUGUCUAUAUUUGUUUAUUUAUGUUUGUAUGUGCUAUUUAUCUGUCUUUGUGUAUGUGUGCAUUGAUAUAUUUAACUUUAAAAAUGUAUUGAUGUUUAGGAAACUUACCAUUGCUGUGAGAUUACAAGUAAAUGAAAUUCAGGACCUCUUUUUUCCUUCUCAAUUUCAUUCAGUAUAUAUGGCCACACGAGCAUGAAAAGCUUUCACAAGUUGAGCUGUUGGUUGUUGAAGAAGCUGCUGCUAUUCCACUGCUGGUGGUAAGUCUUUGCUUGGCCCAUAUCUGAUCUUCUUGUCUUGACAAGAGUGUUCAUACAGGAACAAUAUCUACAUGAGAAUGCCUAUAUCAAAAGAAUAGGAAAAUAGAUUAUAAAACCGAACCCACAAACACGAAGCCGUUCCUUUUUCUCUUGCUGAUAAUCCCAACUCCCCACGAACCCAAAACUCCAGAGUCCAAAAUACAGUUUAGAACAAAAAGGGAACAAGUUGGAGAGUAGGGCAACAAGUCAUAGUGGAAAGAAGGCUUACGACUAAGCAAUGGUUGUUCAGAGAGACAUUUCGGUCGUGAUGCGGCUACAUUACUGUGGCAAUGCGGAAAAAUCCGUGAUUUUCAUUCGCACUGCAAUUGCGGCCUGUUGAUGUUGCGAGGAGGUCCGCAAUCGUAAUAUUACGACCACAAUACAUAAUGUAGACCACAAUUUGAAACACUGGUAAUAAUCUAAAGAAUGAAUGACCUGAAUAAACAUCGCACUUCAACAAUCUAUUUGUCAACAUCACUCAAUAAACACCAUGUAAAAGUUAGUUUUGACUACGAAUCAUCUUUUAACCAGUGUGUGUUCCUUGGUCCAUACUUUUGUAGGUGUAAAAAGGAAGUAAUAAUAUUAAGUUUUUUAAUUAAUUUUACU